GCUACACAUGAAUGUCUGUUUUCAACAACAAAAAAAGUUCCAGACCUCAUCUGAACUCAAAAUAGCAGUGGGUCUCAUGUGAAACCUUGAGAGACACCUUCGUAAAGCUCUAAGUUAUUCAUUGUAACUGUAUUCCCAUUGGGAUAAUGGGAUAAAUUAAAGUGAAUAACCCCAUAAAAAUAUUCACUUUAAGAUGUGUUAAUGUCAACAGAAGACAAAUAAGCCAGUCAACACCACAUGUUCAAAUCUCCUCCACAUAUAAUCUAACGCCUAAAUCUGUUACACAAACAUUUCCCUCUAUACAUGUAUGUACCGCGGGGGUACAUACAUGUAUAGGUGAACAUCAACACUCUGUGUGUAUCCACGUCUGAUAGUUUUACGAUUUUUGUCUCCAUCCAGUUGCACGCGCAACAUGGUGGCCUUCCUUCGCAUCAGGGUUUGCUGUAAAUCUUCCUCUCUUGGCUGAUCCGGUGUUUGUAGUGGAGGGCUCUUAAGUGUGGGGGAAUCUGGUCCCCUAUAGCUUGUAUCAUACUCCUCUGGUAGAAAUCGCAGGGCUCUCCUCGAAAGGAACUUAUCUGCUGGUAUCUUCACUAUGUGCAGUGAUACUCGCAUCCAUGCCUGAAUUCUGAAUUCAUUAAACAACCUCUGUCCUUUUCUGGGUGUGGAGUUAGUCCUACACUGUUCUGACCUGAGUUACCAGAUACAUACCUACUCACCGCUCGCUCCCGGUAGACUCAGCCGACUGGAGGUGAACACUGGAACCACAUUAGCUCUGGUUCAGUAAAGCAUUUGGUCAGAAGGGCAGACAGGUUAGUUGGUUUUGUGCUCUCAUAAAAACAGCUUCACAGAAAUGUGAUUCUCAGCAGGGAUCUUGCUCAGGGGAAGCUUCCACCACACUCCUAUUAACGGGUUUGACUGCUCGGCCUCUGAAGAUGAUCAGAGAGCAGACGGAGGAAGAAUGAAGGAGAGGAGAGCAGUGGGCGAGUGGAGUUGAAAAAAUUAUAACAAGGAGGCAUAAAGGGUAAAAAAAAAAAAAUCAAAUGAGGUAAAGUAGAAGUUG